AUGCACGCUGGCGGCGUGCCUCAUCCCUGCCAGUCGAGCGAACAGACGAGGAGCUUGCUCCUCUGACGUUAGCGGCGGACGGGUGAGUAACACGUGGAUAACCUACCUAUAAGACUGGGAUAACUUCGGGAAACCGGAGCUAAUACCGGAUAAUAUAUUGAACCGCAUGGUUCAAUAGUGAAAGACGGUUUUGCUGUCACUUAUAGAUGGAUCCGCGCCGCAUUAGCUAGUUGGUAAGGUAACGGCUUACCAAGGCGACGAUGCGUAGCCGACCUGAGAGGGUGAUCGGCCACACUGGAACUGAGACACGGUCCAGACUCCUACGGGAGGCAGCAGUAGGGAAUCUUCCGCAAUGGGCGAAAGCUUGACGGAGCAACGCCGCGUGAGUGAUGAAGGUCUUCGGAUCGUAAAACUCUGUUAUUAGGGAAGAACAAAUGUGUAAGUAACUAUGCACGUCUUGACGGUACCUAAUCAGAAAGCCACGGCUAACUACGUG
rnacentral:rRNA from 1 species